GACGAACGCUGGCGGCGUGCUUAACACAUGCAAGUCGAGCGGAGCGGCGAACAGGUGAGUAACGCGUGAGUAACUGCCCCCCUCUCUGGGAUAACAGUUGGAAACGGCUGCUAAUACCGGCUAGUGGGGGAUGACUCGCGUCCUAUCAGCUUGUUGGUGGGGUAGUGGCCUACCAAGGGGACGACGGGUAGCCGGCCUGGGAGGGCGACCGGCCACAUGGGGCUGAGAUACGGCCCAAAGUAGUACGGGAGGCAGCAGUGGGGAAUAUUGCACAAUGGGGGCAACCCUGAGGCAGCAAGGCGCGUGCGGGAUGACGGCUUUCGGGUUGUAAACCGCUUUCAGCCAUGACGCGGUAGUGGAAGAAGAAGCACCGGCUAACUACGUGCCAGCAGCCGCGGUAAUAC
rnacentral:rRNA from 1 species